CCCACCCAUGGCAACAAAUUCCAGUCGCGUGUUUUGUCAACGCGAUUGAGCCGACGCCAUGGGAAAUCAAAUGCCCAUUUGAUCCCACUUUCGGCGAUUUUCGCCGACUGUGGUUUGCACGUGGUCCACAG
rnacentral:snoRNA from 16 species